UGGGGAAUAUUGCACAAUGGGCGCAAGCCUGAUGCAGCCAUGCCGCGUGUAUGAAGAAGGCCUUCGGGUUGUAAAGUACUUUCAGCGGGGAGGAAGGCGAUAAGGUUAAUAACCUUGUCGAUUGACGUUACCCGCAGAAGAAGCACCGGCUAACUCCGUGCCAGCAGCCGCGGUAAUACGGAGGGUGCAAGCGAUAAUCGGAAUUACUGGGCGUAAAGCGCACGCAGGCGUUCUGUCAAGUCGGAUGUGAAAUCCCCGGGCUCAACCUGGGAACUGCAUUCGAAACUGGCAGGCUAGAGUCUUGUAGAGGGGGGUAGAAUUCCAGGUGUAGCGGUGAAAUGCGUAGAGAUCUGGAGGAAUACCGGUGGCGAAGGCGGCCCCCUGGACAAAGACUGACGCUCAGGUGCGAAAGCGUGGGGAGCAAACA
rnacentral:rRNA from 1 species